rnacentral:rRNA from 1 species
UACGGGGGGGUAAGCGUUGUUCGGAAUUACUGGGCGUAAAGGGCUCGUAGGCGGCCAACUAAGUCAGACGUGAAAUCCCUCGGCUUAACCGGGGAACUGCGUCUGAUACUGGAUGGCUUGAGUGUGGGAGAGGGAUGCGGAAUUCCAGGUGUAGCGGUGAAAUGCGUAGAUAUCUGGAGGAACACCGGUGGCGAAGGCGGCAUCCUGGACCACGACUGACGCUGAGGAGCGAAAGCCAGGGGAGCAAACGGG